rnacentral:rRNA from 1 species
GAAUAUUGGACAAUGGGCGGAAGCCUGAUCCAGCAACGCCGCGUGAGGGAUGACGGCCUUCGGGUUGUAAACCUCUUUCAGUACCGACGAAGCGAAAGUGACGGUAGGUAAAGAAGAAGCACCGGCCAACUACGUGCCAGCCGCCGCGGUAAUACGUAGGGUGCGAGCGUUGUCCGGAAUUAUUGGGGGUAAAGGGCUCGUAGGCGGUUUGUCGCGUCGGGAGUGAAAACACUGGGCUUAACUCAGUGCUUGCUUCCGAUACGGGCAGACUAGAGGUAUGCAGGGGAGAACGGAAUUCCUGGUGUAGCGGUGAAAUGCGCAGAUAUCAGGAGGAACACCGGUGGCGAAGGCGGUUCUCUGGGCAUUACCUGACGCUGAGGAGCGAAAGUGUGGGGAGCGAACAGG